rnacentral:misc_RNA from 1 species
CAUUUUAAUCGCAACAAUAAUUUAGCAGUUGAAUAUUUCGUUUUAAAAAGCAUAUGAGUUAGACCUGUAACCAGUUCGUGUUUGAGACGAGCGAAUAUCUAUCACGGAACAAUCAGUAUUACAGACUACAGAAUUUAGCCUAACAGUGUCUUGUUAGAAGUUAGGAUAGUCCUUACGAGAUUGGAUCUUAUGGAUGUCGGUUGCAACACCAGCUUCCUAUGCUAUCAGCGGAAAGAAUAUUGUUUCGAAUGUGAAGUGUAAAAACUCGCUUAGAACAACGACAAGUCGUUUUACGCUGUCACGUCUCAUGCAAGGAUACGUUGGACAAUGCAGC